GAAGUACCGAGGGGGAGAUUUCUUCUCGUAAAUAAAAGAGGCAGCGAUUGCAAACAAGUCCCGGGCUGGAGAAAAGCAGGCCGGGGAGCCGCCUCCCCUCCCCCUCUCGGCACCAACACCCCUCCCCCCUUUUUGGUUAUCUCCCUGGCCCGGCGUCCCACCACUGACUCAGAGAGAGGGGGUGGAAGGAGGAGGAGAAAGAACUCGCGGGGGCUCAGGCGCCCGGGCAGAAGGAGGCUGGAGGAGAGCGGGGAGGCGAGAGCGCGCGGCGGUGGAGAGCCCCUCGAUCAAUUUUCAUGCAAGAAUCAUUAUCGCUGCGGGAACUGGAGUUCACCCUCCUCCGGGACCGAGUGGAGGAUCCCCAAACCGUGACCCAGGCGCUCCGGGCUGCCUUUUGUGAAACCCACACGGGGUUGCGGAAACGCACACGCCGGCGACCCGGCGAGCUCCUCUGGCGAGCGUCCUUUCACCUCCUGAAGGACCCCUUGGUGGCACAACCAGCCGGAAUCACGACUUGGUGACACUAAGGGGGUCACCUUUUGACCCCAGAUACAAUCAUGGCUUGAGGAACAGACCGGAGCCCGCAGAAAAAUCUUAAAUGGCUGGGCGGAGCGCUCCAAGGCUAGGGAGGGGUGGCGCUCCUCCCCGCCGCCACCAACGGCUCGGAGGAUGCAGCGUGCCGGCGGCUGCUGCCUUCUCCCAGAGCCCAGCCGCUGGGGGUGCGAGAAGCCGUUUUUAAUACCCCAGUCUCCUGCUGCGCUCUGCCUGGCGCCCCCUCCCCGCAGGUGGCCGAGAGCGCGCGGUCACGGGGGAGGGCGUCAGGGCUGCUGACCUGGAGGAAACCAGCCGCUCGGGGCCGCCCGCGCCCGCCGCCAGCCCCUGGCCGCUCCGCCCCGCGCUGACCUCCGAGGUCGCGCUAGGCCCUUGGCGCGGCGGCCCUUUGUUUCCGGAGCUGCGUGGCGGCGUGCUCCCCGCACCUCCCCUUGGGCCUGGCAUCCCUGCAGGGAGGUUACAGCGGGUCGAGAUCCAGCACCUGCCCGCUUCGUACUCCGCCCCCUAACUGGGCCUUCACUCAAGUCACCCGCUUCGCCUCCCACCCACUGUCACCUGCAUUCUACACAAUCUGCGCCCCUCUGCGAUGGGGGGAGGUGUACCAGGACCUGCGGCAGACCGUCUGGGUGAGCUGCCGCCCACUCCCCUAACCCCUCACAAGCUUGGAAAAAUCUCUGAUCCAACUUGGGGAAAAAAAAUAAAACUAUUUUACUGAAAGACCCUAAA